AGAGGCCUUCACUGGUAAGAUCAUCAGAGGGUGAAGAUCGCUCCUGUUAUAAAAGUAUGGAAAGACUCUCUCAGUGAAGAUCCUCAGACAGGAAGAGGUGUCGGUAGGCAGUGUUGGGGUCCAGAGUCACAGGAGCUGAGGAGAGAGAUCAGACUCUGAAGGUCAGGUUGCCCAGGUGUUUGGCCACGUCUAUCAGCGUUCCUGAGACCAGCUGUGGAUCCGGCAGAGUGGGAUUGGCUCUGGAAGAAAAUUCUGGAAUCAGAGCUGCUGUGGGGUUGGGUUCACAACCACAGAGAAGAGAGGGGCAAGAGGCAGGUGACCUACCUGUUCACUGUGUCCUUGUAGUUCUGUGGAGAUACAGAAGAUGAAGUUAGACACUCAUAAACACACCCAGCCAGACAUCCCAUAUGAACUUAGAGAGAUCAGUCCUGACCUGCAGGAAUGAGAAGUCUUCAGCUCUCAGCUCCUCCUCUAUGGCUCUGAUUGUGUGUGAAAGUGUUGAUAUCUCUCUGCUCAGCCCCUCAAUCUUCUCUUUCAUCAUCUGACUCUUCUGCUUCUCCUCCUUCCUCACUGCAGCUAUCCUGGCCUCCUCUUCCUCUUGUAGAAACUGGUGAAGCUUCUUAAACUCCUCCUUAAUAUGGCUCUCUGUGUGCUGGGUCUGGAUCUGGAGACAUGGGGGUUAAUACAGGGGUUUAGGUGACCAGAGUUUUCAAUGUAAAAAUGGUUUCAUAUUAUUUUAUUAAUAAAUAUUUUUACCUUAAUGUGAUUUGCUGCUUUAGAACAGGCUCGUUUAACUACAUAAAAGACCUUCAGCUUCUCCUUUAAGGACUUCAGAACAGGUUGGAGUUCCUCCUGGAAUGAAACAAAACAUGUCAGGAGUAAAAGUUGUUCAUCCUCUUAUUUGACCAGCUGGAUCUGAGACGUCUCUCUAACAAAACUUAGUAGAAGAAAUGAGAAUCGAAGCAGAGAAACAAUAAACCAUUAACACUUCAAAAAAUAGAAAAAUAUAAAUCAUAUUAACAAACACUAUA